AUUGAACGCUGGCGGCAUGCUUUACACAUGCAAGUCGAGCGGCAGCGCGGGGGGCAACCCUGGCGGCGAGCGGCGAACGGGUGAGGAAUACAUCGGAACGUACCCGAGAGUGGGGGGAUAACGCCGCGAAAGCGGCGCUAAUACCGCAUAUUCUCCGAGGAGGAAAGUGGGGGACCGCAAGGCCUCACGCUCACGGAGCGGCCGAUGUCGGAUUAGCUAGUUGGUGGGGUAAAGGCCCACCAAGGCGACGAUCCGUGGCUGGUCUGAGAGGAUGAUCAGCCACACUGGGACUGAGACACGGCCCAGACUCCUACGGGAGGCAGCAGUGGGGAAUUUUGGACAAUGGGGGCAACCCUGAUCCAGCCAUGCCGCGUGCGGGAAGAAGGCCU
rnacentral:rRNA from 1 species